rnacentral:rRNA from 1 species
UACGGGGGGGGCAAGCGUUGUUCGGAAUUACUGGGCGUAAAGGGCUCGUAGGCGGCCAACUAAGUCGGAUGUGAAAUCCCCAGGCUUAACCUGGGAACUGCAUCCGAUACUGGAUGGCUUGAAUCCGGGAGAGGGAUGCAGAAUUCCAGGUGUAGCGGUGAAAUGCGUAGAUAUCGAGAGGAACACCGGUGGCGAAGGCGGCCUUCUGGACAGUGACUGACGCUGAGACGCGAAAGCGUGGGGAGCAAACAGG